UUUUCGCCUGGACGUUCGGAGCAGGGAAUGAUGGAACUAAAAACUGUUCUUCCUGCUACAAUGAAAACUAUGAUUAUGAAAACAACCACAUGUCUAGAAAAGUGUCCAGUGGAUAAGAAUGGAUGUUCCUGAGUACAUAUUUUUUUUUGGUUAGCAGCUGGAAUCCAGUCAGCAGUUGGGAUGGAUUUGGCCCAAGACCUCUUAAUUCCAAACCUACAUCAAGCCAGUGGAAUGCCUUGGAUUGCGAUGUGAAGAAGCCCUUGGACUGAAGACUGAGCCCCAUUAUGAUAUCUACUGAAAAAGCAGAGUGUUAAGAAGUCAAAUGGGAACAUGAUCUGAAGCCUUCCUGUGUGAAGUCGCAUCCUGCAUGAGUUCAAAUCAGCCUCUACUUUUGGGGGAAAUCAGUUUGGGAAUUAGCAAUGUAAUAAAUGUUUAAAACUUCAUUGCAAUUAAUAUGUACAUCUAGUGAUUUCAAGUUUGCCUUAAAUAUACCGUCAAAUAACUCCUUCAGGAGGGGUCAUAAUCAUGGUACUGUGUUCUGAGGCAGCUCUUGAGUUUCUUUAGUAUUGUAUGCAUCAAAAUAAAGUUUUAAAAGAUU